rnacentral:rRNA from 1 species
AGAAUUUGAUCUUGGUUCAGGAUGAACGCUAGCUACAGACUUAACACAUGCAAGUCGAGGGGUAGCAGGGUAGCAAUACCGCUGACGACCGGCGCACGGGUGAGUAACACGUAUCCAACCUUCCCAUAACUCAGGGAUAGCCUUUCGAAAGAAAGAUUAAUACCUGAUAGUACUUUUUCAAGGCAUCUUGAGAAAGUUAAAGAUUUAUUGGUUAUGGAUGGGGAUGCGUUCCAUUAGAUAGUUGGUGAGGUAACGGCUCACCAAGUCUUCGAUGGAUAGGGGUUCUGAGAGGAAGGUCCCCCACAUUGGUACUGAGACACGGACCAAACUCCUACGGGAGGCAGCAGUGAGGAAUAUUGGUCAAUGGGCGAGAGCCUGAACCAGCCAAGUAGCGUGAAGGAUGAAGGUCCUAUGGAUUGUAAACUUCUUUUAUAGUAGAAUAAAGUGAUCCACGUGUGGAUUUUUGUAUGUAUACUAUGAAUAAGGAUCGGCUAACUCCGUGCCAGCCGCAGC